rnacentral:rRNA from 1 species
UACGGAAGGCAGCAGUGGGGAAUAUUGCACAAUGGGCGCAAGCCUGAUGCAGCCAUGCCGCGUGUAUGAAGAAGGCCUUCGGGUUGUAAAGUACUUUCAGCGGGGAGGAAGGCGAUGCGGUUAAUAACCGCGUCGAUUGACGUUACCCGCAGAAGAAGCACCGGCUAACUCCGUGCCAGCAGCCGCGGUAAUACGGAGGGUGCAAGCGUUAAUCGGAAUUACUGGGCGUAAAGCGCACGCAGGCGGUCUGUUAAGUCAGAUGUGAAAUCCCCGGGGCUUAAACCCUGGGAACUGCAUUUUGAAACUGGCAGGCUUGAGUCUUGUAGAGGGGGUUACGAAUUCCAGGUGUAGCGGUGAAACUGCGUAGAGAUCUGGAGGAAUACCGGUGGCGAAGGUCGGCCCCUGGACAAGACUGACGCUCAGGU